UCAUUGAAUGGCUGAAAUGAAAGCAAUGGUCUCUUAAACCACACUAUAGUACUCGAAUACUUUCAAUGAA
rnacentral:tRNA from 1 species